rnacentral:rRNA from 1 species
CCUACGGGAGACAGCAGUGGGGAAUAUUGGGCAAUGGGCGCAAGCCUGACCCAGCAACGCCGCGUGAAGGAAGAAGGCUUUCGGGUUGUAAACUUCUUUUUACAGGGAAGCGUAGAAGACGGUACCUGCCGAAUCAGCCACGGCUAACUACGUGCCAUCAGCCGCGGUAAUACGUAGGUGGCAGGCGUUGUCCGGAUUUACUGGGUGUACAGGGCGUGUAGCCGGGUUGACAAGUCAGAUGUGAAAUCCUGCGGCUUAACCGCAGAACUGCAUUUGAAACUGUUGAUCUGGAGUACUGGAGAGGCAGAUGGAAUUCCUAGUGUAGCGGUGAAAUGCGUAGAUAUUACGAGGAACACCAGUGGCGAAGGCGGUCUGCUGGACAGCAACUGACGGUGAGGCGCGAAAGCGUGGGGAGCAAACAGGAUUAGAUACCCUUGUAGUC